rnacentral:rRNA from 1 species
GAUGAACGCUAGCUACAGGCUUAACACAUGCAAGUCGAGGGGCAGCAUGACCUAGCCAUCGGUUGAUGGCGACCGGCGCACGGGUGAGUAACACGUAUCCAACCUGCCGAUUAUUCCGGGAUAGCCUUUCGAAAGAAAGAUUAAUACUGGAUAGCAUAACGAGAAGGCAUCUUCUUGUUAUUAAAGAAUUUCGAUAAUCGAUGGGGAUGCGUUCCAUUAGUUUGUUGGCGGGGUAACGGCCCACCAAGACAUCGAUGGAUAGGGGUUCUGAGAGGAAGGUCCCCCACAUUGGAACUGAGACACGGUCCAAACUCCUACGGGAGGCAGCAGUGAGGAAUAUUGGUCAAUGGACGAGAGUCUGAACCAGCCAAGUAGCGUGAAGGAUGACUGCCCUAUGGGUUGUAAACUUCUUUUAUAUGGGAAUAAAGUGGGCCACGUGUGGCUUUUUGUAUGUACCAUACGAAUAAGGAUCGGCUAACUCCGUG